rnacentral:rRNA from 1 species
UAGGGAAUCUUCCGCAAUGGGCGAAAGCCUGACGGAGCAACGCCGCGUGAGUGAUGAAGGUCUUCGGAUCGUAAAACUCUGUUAUUAGGGAAGAACAAAUGUGUAAGUAACUAUGCACGUCUUGACGGUACCUAAUCAGAAAGCCACGGCUAACUACGUGCCAGCAGCCGCGGUAAUACGUAGGUGGCAAGCGUUAUCCGGAAUUAUUGGGCGUAAAGCGCGCGUAGGCGGUUUUUUAAGUCUGAUGUGAAAGCCCACGGCUCAACCGUGGAGGGUCAUUAGAAACUGGAAAACUUGAGUGCAGAAGAGGAAAGUGGAAUUCCAUGUGUAGCGGUGAAAUGCGCAGAGAUAUGGAGGAACACCAGUGGCGAAGGCGACUUUCUGGUCUGUAACUGACGCUGAUGUGCGAAAGCGUGGGGUUCAAACAGG